CUUUACAUCGGAACGUGCCCUGUAGUGGGGGAUAACUAGUCCCUAGAUUAGCUAAUACCGCAUACGACCUGAGGGUGAAAGUGGGGGACCGCAAGGCCUCAUGCUAUAGGAGCGGCCGAUGUCUGAUUAGCUAGUUGGUGAGGUAAAGGCUCACCAAGGCGACGAUCAGUAGCUGGUCUGAGAGGACGAUCAGCCACACUGGGACUGAGACACGGCCCAGACUCCUACGGGAGGCAGCAGUGGGGAAUUUUGGGCAAUGGGGGCAACCCUGAUCCAGCAAUGCCGCGUGUGUGAAGAAGGCCUUCGGGUUGUAAAGCACUUUUGUCCGGAAAGAAAUCGCACUUACUAAUAUUAGGUGUGGAUGACGGUACCGGAAGAAUAAGGACCGGCUAACUACGUGCCAGCAGCCCCGGUCAA
rnacentral:rRNA from 1 species